rnacentral:rRNA from 1 species
GGCCUUGACAUACUAAGAACUUUCCAGAGAUGGAUUGGUGCCUUCGGGAACUUAGAUACAGGUGCUGCAUGGCUGUCGUCAGCUCGUGUCGUGAGAUGUUGGGUUAAGUCCCGCAACGAGCGCAACCCUUUUCCUUAUUUGCCAGCGGGUCAUGCCGGGAACUUUAAGGAUACUGCCAGUGACAAACUGGAGGAAGGCGGGGACGACGUCAAGUCAUUAUGGCCCUUACGGCCAGGGCUACACACGUGCUACAAUGGUCGGUACAAAGGGUUGCUACCUCGCGAGAGGAUGCUAAUCUCAAAAAGCCGAUCGUAGUCCGGAUCGCAGUCUGCAACUCGACUGCGUGAAGUCGGAAUCGCUAGUAAUCGCGGAUCAGAAUGCCGCGGUGAAUACGUUCCCGGGCCUUGUACACACCGCCCGUCACACCAUGGGAGUUUGUUGCACCAGAAGUAGGUAGUCUAACCGCAAGGAGGACGCUUACCACGGUGUGGCCGAUGACUGGGGUGAAGUCGUAACAAGGUAAGCGUAGAUGA